rnacentral:rRNA from 1 species
UUUUUGAAGAGUUUGAUCCUGGCUCAGGAUGAACGCUGGCGGCGUGCCUAAUACAUGCAAGUCGAGCGACAGUGCUUCUCACUGGCGUGAGGAAGCAUUUAACAUUAGCCAAAUUCACAUUUAACAAAUUAUUUUUCAAUUGGCCAUUAGCUAAACAUUUGGAAAAUGAUAACUGGUAAAUAAUUGAGAAUUGGUAAAUGAAAAAUGAUAAAUUUCCGAGCGUGAGUGAGGAGUAUAUGGAGCGGCGGACGGCUGAGUAACGCGCAGGAACGUACCCCGAAGUGAGGGAUAAGCACCAGAAAUGGUGUCUAAUACCGCAUGCGGUGCUUCUCAUCAAGAUUCGAACACAUUUAACAGUUCACAUUUACCAUUUACCAAUUAAUUCACAUUUACCAUUUCGAAAGAUUUGAUAAAUGGAAAUUGAUAAAUAAUUUGGAAAAUGAAAACUGGAAAAUGAUAAAUUCGGGCUUUGAUGAGAAGUAUCAAAGCCCUCGGGCGCUUUGGGAGCGGCCUGCGUACGAUUAGCUUGUUGGUGAGGUAAAAGCUCACCAAGGCGACGAUCGUUAACUGGUCUGAGAGGAUGAUCAGUCAGACUGGAACUGAGACACGGUCCAGACUCCUACGGGAGGCAGCAGUAGGGAAUUUUCCACAAUGGGCGAAAGCCUGAUGGAGCAACGCCGCGUGCAGGAGGAAGGCCCUUGGGUCGUAAACUGCUUUUAUGUGUGACGAUUUUGACGGUAGCAUAUGAAUAAGGAUCGGCUAACUCCGUGCCAGCAGCCGCGGUCAUACGGAGGAUCCAAGCGUUAUCCGGAAUUACUGGGCGUAAAGAGUUGCGUAGGUGGCAGAGUAAGCGAAGCAUGAAAUCUUAAGGCUCAACCUUAAGUCUAUGCUUUGAACUACUCAGCUUGAGAAUGAGAGAGGUAGAUGGAAUUGCUAGUGUAGGAGUGAAAUCCGUAGAUAUUAGCAGGAACACCGAUGGCGUAGGCAGUCUACUGGCUCAUUUCUGACACUAAGGCACGAAAGCGUGGGGAGCGAACGGGAUUAGAUACCCCGGUAGUCCACGCCCUAAACGAUGGAUGCUAGCUGUUAGAAGUAUCGACCCUUCUAGUAGCGAAGCUAACGCGUUAAGCAUCCCGCCUGGGGAGUACGGUCGCAAGAUUAAAACUCAA